rnacentral:rRNA from 1 species
AGAGUUUGAUCAUGGCUCAGAACGAACGCUGGCGGCGUGGCUAAGGCAUGCAAGUCGAACGGAGUGUGUGGAAGGUAACGGAAGCACACUUAGUGGCGAACGGGUGAGGAAUAGCUAGGUAACGUACCCUGGACUCAGGGAUAGCGGCGUCCGCCUUCGGGCGGGCUUUGCGAAAGUGCCGGUAAUACCUGAUGAUAUCCUGGAUGCUCAUGCAUUCAGGAUCAAGGGUCCGCCGGUCUGGGAGCGGCCUAGCUCCUAUCAGCUAGUUGGUGAGGUAACGGCUCACCAAGGCGACGACAGGUACCAGGCGUGAGAGCGCGAUCUGGCACAUCGGGACUGAGACACUGCCCGGACAUCUACGGAUGGCUGCAGCAACGAAUCUUCCGCAAUGGGCGAAAGCCUGACGGAGCGACGCCGCGUGCAGGACGAAGCACUUCGGUGUGUAAACUGCUGUCAGGGGCUAGGAAGAAAGUGACUAACCCCAAAGAGCCCG